CCUACGGGAGGCAGCAGUGGGGAAUCUUGCGCAAUGGGCGAAAGCCUGACGCAGCGACGCCGCGUGUGGGAUGACGGCCUUCGGGUUGUAAACCACUGUCGGGAGGGACGAAGCUCUGACGGUACCUCCAAAGGAAGCACCGGCUAACUCUGUGCCAGCAGCCGCGGUAAU
rnacentral:rRNA from 1 species